GUCUACAGCCAUACCACCAUGAAUGUGCCUGAUCUCAUCUGAUCUCAGAAGUUAAGCAGGGUCGGGCCUGGUUAGUACUUGGAUAGGAGAAGUAAAUGAAAGCACAAAGGUAAUGAUGGCU
ensembl:rRNA 5S_rRNA 5S ribosomal RNA